rnacentral:rRNA from 1 species
CUACGGGAGGCUGCAGUGGGGAAUAUUGGACAAUGGGCGAAAGCCUGAUCCAGCAAUGCCGCGUGAGUGAUGAAGGCCUUAGGGUUGUAAAGCUCUUUUACCCGGGAUGAUAAUGACAGUACCGGGAGAAUAAGCUCCGGCUAACUCCGUGCCAGCAGCCGCGGUAAUACGGAGGGAGCUAGCGUUGUUCGGAAUUACUGGGCGUAAAGCGCGCGUAGGCGGUCAUUCAAGUCAGAGGUGAAAGCCCGGGGCUCAACCCCGGAACUGCCUUUGAAACUAGAUGACUAGAAUCUUGGAGAGGUCAGUGGAAUUCCGAGUGUAGAGGUGAAAUUCGUAGAUAUUCGGAAGAACACCAGUGGCGAAGGCGACUGACUGGACAAGUAUUGACGCUGAGGUGCGAAAGCGUGGGGAGCAAACAGGAUUAGAUACCCUAGUAGUC